UCCGUAGCUCAGUUGGAUAGAGCAUCGGCCUUCGAAGCCGAGUGUCGAAGGUUCGAAUCCUUUCGGG
rnacentral:tRNA from 1 species